rnacentral:rRNA from 1 species
GGAGUCUGGUCCGUGUCUCAGUACCAGUGUGGGGGACCUUCCUCUCAGAACCCCUACUGAUCGUCGGCCAGGUGGGCCGUUACCCCGCCUGCAACCUAAUCAGACGCAUCCUCAUCCAUCGCCGUAUAAAUCUUUACUUACUAGGAGAUGUCUCCAUGUAAGACCAUCAGGUAUUAAUCUUUCUU